UGGGGAAUAUUGGACAAUGGGCGAAAGCCUGAUCCAGCCAUGCCGCGUGUGUGAAGAAGGUCUUCGGAUUGUAAAGCACUUUAAGUUGGGAGGAAGGGCAGUAAGCGAAUACCUUGCUGUUUUGACGUUACCGACAGAAUAAGCACCGGCUAACUCUGUGCCAGCAGCCGCGGCAAUACAGAGGGUGCAAGCGUUAAUCGGAAUUACUGGGCGUAAAGCGCGCGUAGGUGGUUCGUUAAGUUGAAUGUGAAAGCCCCGGGCUCAACCUGGGAACUGCAUCCAAAACUGGCGAGCUAGAGUAGGGCAGAGGGUGGUGGAAUUUCCUGUGUAGCGGUGAAAUGCGUAGAUAUAGGAAGGAACACCAGUGGCGAAGGCGACCAACUGGGCUCAUACUGACACUGAGGUGCGAAAGCGUGGGGAGCAAACAGG
rnacentral:rRNA from 1 species